AUGAAACACUCCUACGGGAGGCAGCAGUGGGGAAUCUUGCGCAAUGGGCGAAAGCCUGACGCAGCGACGCCGCGUGGAGGAUGAGGCCCUUCGGGGUGUGAACUCCUGUUGCCCGGGACGAACGCCGUGUGUAGACACGGGUGACGGUACCGGGUGAGGAAGCACCGGCUAACUCUGUGCCAGCAGCCGCGGUAAUACAGAGGGUGCGAGCGUUGUCCGGAAUUACUGGGCGUAAAGGGCGCGUAGGCGGCCCCAUAACGCGUGCCGUGAAAGCCCGGGGCUCAACCCCGGGUCGGCGGUGCGAACGGGGGGGCUGGAGCACAUCAGAGGCAGGCGGAAUUCCGGGUGUAGCGGUGGAAUGCGUAGAGAUCCGGAAGAACACCGGUGGCGAAGGCGGCCUGCUGGGGUGUGGCUGACGCUGAGGCGCGACAGCGUGGGGAGCAAACAGGAUUAGAAACCCCAGUAGUCCGAAGUUC
rnacentral:rRNA from 1 species